CUACCAGUCAACCUCUGUACCUCUUUCUUGUUCCUUGGUGAUUCCAUAGAUGCCAAGGCUUGUAUUUUGUCAGGGUUGGCCUCUAUCCCCCGAUGAGUGAUCAUAAAGCCCAAGAACUUGCCCGAGGCAACGCCGAAUGCACAUUUCGCGGGGUUCAACUUCAUUCCGUACUUUCGCAAGGUGUUGAACACUUCUUCAAGAUCUGAAAUAUGUUGGUCCACCUGUUUGCUCUUGACCACCANAGCGCAUUGGAUCUCUGUUUGUUUGUCAGGGCUGAUGAUGAUGACCCCUGCGCCCGAGCCCGAGGAGUUCGAUGCUCCAUCCACAAAUAUUUGCCAAGUGUCCAAAUUAGUGCUCAUGCUCGAGCUCUCACCUGGCCCCCGAGGCCUAGGGGUUAGUUCUGCAAUGAAGUCGGCCAGAGCUUGGGCUUUGAUAGAUGGGCGUGGUUUGAAUUCUAUGUCAAAUUCCCCAAGCUCGAUUGCCCAUUUCAUCAGUCUUCCUGAUACGUCCGGCUUCUGAAGUAUAUGCCUAAGUGGUUGAUUAGUGAGCACCACAAUAGGAUGAGACUGGAAAUACUGCCUGAGUUUCCGUGCUGCUACAACCAAGGCAAGGGCAAGUUGUUCCGCCAAAGUAUACCUUGUUUCCGCAUCUAGUAGGACCUUGCUUACAUAGUAGAUCGGUUGUUGGACUUUGUUAACCUCUUUCACCAAGACCCCGCUGACCGCAUUUUGAGAUACGGCCAGGUACAAAAACAAAGUGUCACCAGGCUCAGGCUUUGUUAGAAUUGGAGGAGAUGCUAAUGUCUGUUUGAGCUCCUGAAGAGUUUUCUCACAGUCUUCACUCCAUUCAAAGCCUUGGUUUUCUCUGAGGACUUUGAAGAAGGGAUAGCCCCUGUCUGAUGCUCGGGACAUGAACCUGUUCAAGGCUGCUAUCCUGCCAGUCAACCUCUGUACCUCUUUCUUGUUCCUUGGUGAUUCCAUAGACGCUAAUGCUUGUAUUUUGUCAGGGUUGGCCUCUAUCCCCCGGUGGGUGAUCAUGAAGCCCAAGAACUUGCUCGAGGCCACGCCAAAUGCACAUUUUGCGGGGUUCAACUUCAUCCCGUACUUUCGCAAGGUAUUGAACACUUCUUCAAGAUCUGAAAUAUGUUGGUCCACC
rnacentral:lncRNA from 1 species